rnacentral:lncRNA from 1 species
CGAUUUUCUGUUGCUAUCACUGAAUACCACACCACAGACUAACUCAUGGAGAAUGAAGGUUUGUCCGGCUCCAGUUCUGAAGGCGGGAGGUUCAGGACGGGGGACUGUGUGGUGAGGUCCUCCUUGCUUUGGAGAUUCUCUGCAGAGUUCCCAGGCAGCACAAGGCAUCAGUACCGACAAUGUCCCAGCUCGGGUCUCCCCGCAACCAUAAAGCUCGGCCUUCAGAUCAGAGCCCCGCCCCACGGCCUUGCUGACUCCACCCCUCCCAAUCACCGGGCCUCAAGACACUGCCCUGAGGUAAGUGUCCACCCUCUAACGCCUCCUGCGGGGGCUGAAUCGCAGCGUGGGUCUGACAGCAGACUUGCUAAUUAGCACGGUGAAUGUUAGAAAUGGGGUCUCCUUGAUGGAAUACAAGGUGCUCAGGAUUACGAAAUGGCUGAAACGGUCUGCAGAGAUUUCUCCGCUUCCACACACCUCCCGACAAAGCCCACAGCUUGGUCCCAAUGCCAGGUGCAACCACUGGCUCAGGUUUGCAUCCCGAAGAACACAGGGGGACAGAACAGAGGCCUGGGGGCGCGGCUAGGUUGCCUCAAACAGGGCUCUGACCCUUGGGAAACGGCAGCAUGGCCAGCAAGUGUCACAGGAGGAACACGGAAGCCUGGGGCAGGACUGGGCUCUGCGCCUCUUCAGCAUUCCGGGGAUCCACCGCAGAACCAGGAGUGCUUCCUGAAUUCUCCUUGCGGAGACUGUGGUAGACAAGAACACCACUCAGAAGUCUUCCAUCUUAGCCAUCUUCAAGGAAAGACACGCCACAAUGCUUGUCACGGAUGCUACUGUAUCCCUCUAAUUUGUGUGCUGAAGCCCUAACCCCCCGUGACUGUUUGGAGCAAAGUCUAUAAACAGGGAAUUAAGGUUGAGUGGGGUCACAGGGUGGCGCAAAGUCAGGUGGGACUAGGGUCCUCGAAGAAGAGUAGACACUGGUGUCUCUCCCAGUGUGCAGGGACAGAGGGAGGCCAUGUGAGGACACAGGGGAAAGGGAUCUCUGUGAGCUGUGAUGAGAGCCCUCCUUGGAAGCCAGGGCUCCUGGCAGCCUGAUCUGGGAUUUCUGGACUCCAGAACUGUGGAAAAAAAUAAUUUCUGUUGUUAAAGUCACCCAGGCUGUGGUAUUUUGUGAUGGCAGAACAAACCGAGUAAUGCAAUGAUACUGAAAGUGGCUUUUCAGUAACAAAGAAAAACAAUCCCCAUUUUAUCACAUGGAGCUCUAGUAACUACAGCGUGGGGAUUUGUUCUCUGUCAAAAUUGAGGGUAGCAGCAGAUCAGUGACAGAGCACUCGCCUACCACACAUGAGGCCCUAGGUCCAAUACCAGAAACUCAGACAGAAUUGAGGGCAGGUGGGCGCUGCGGAAGCAGGCAGGAAAAGCCCCUCAUGUGUGCCAUCGUGAGGCAGAUGUGAAUGAAAAGCCCAGUCUGACUUGUCCUUUCCGCUGGCCACUCAAGAUUCAGCAUAAAAGGGGGCUCAGGCCAGUCCACAUAGUCCAGGGUUCGCACCAAAACCCAAAACCCAGAGAUACAAGUUUCCAGCUGGCUGUAGAAAAGCCACUUUCCUCCACUUUUUGCUCCAGCAUGAGUACUACAAUGUCUGAACAAGCAACUGUGAUGUGUGUAUGUGUUUGGGUUGGAAAAGGGAACCUUAGAGGAAACAAUCUUUGAAAACCUCAGAG